GGGGACGAUCGGUUUCGACGGAAAAUGUUCUUUAAAAUCUGCAAGCAAAGUUUGACUAACACUUUUCAAAAGAAGUCAAAAAAUAAUUGCUAAACCCAAUUAUAAAUUCGCAUACGCCUAAAAAGUGUUUUUGCGAAUGUUUGCUGUUUUGUUUCUCAACCGAAAUAGACAAGCAUAAACCAGUUGGGAUGCGGUAAAUACCACUGACUUUAGGUAUUUUCCAAAGUUUUAAAGUCAAACUUCCAAUUACUUUGUUGGUUUCUUGAAUUGGGAGUCAUGAAAAAUCAACAAAGCUUGUAGAGGAUUUUGAAUUCAUUUUUCGGACGAGGGGUCGAUUCCCUCCGUCUCCACUA
rnacentral:tmRNA from 1 species